GAUGAACGCUGGCGGCGUGCCUAAUACAUGCAAGUCGAACGCGAGAGGAGGGAGCUUGCUCCCUCUGAUCGAGUGGCGGACGGGUGAGUAACACGUAGGCAACCUGCCCAUCAGCCGGGGAUAACUGCGGGAAACCGUGGCUAAUACCGGAUAAUCCUCUCCACCGCGGGGUGGGGAGUUGAAAGACGGUUUCGGCUGUCGCUGAUGGAUGGGCCUGCGGGGCAUUAGCUGGUUGGCGGGGUAACGGCCCACCAAGGCAACGAUGCGUAGCCGACCUGAGAGGGUGAUCGGCCACACUGGGACUGAGACACGGCCCAGACUCCUACGGGAGGCAGCAGUAGGGAAUCUUCCGCAAUGGACGCAAGUCUGACGGAGCAACGCCGCGUGAGUGAAGAAGGGUUUCGGCUCGUAAAACUCUGUUGUUAAGGAAGAACAAGUGCUAGUUGAAUAAGCUGACACCUUGACGGUACCUAACCAGAAAACCACGGCUAACUACGUGCCAGCCGCCGCUGUAA
rnacentral:rRNA from 1 species